rnacentral:hammerhead_ribozyme from 1 species
AUCUAGCUGAUGAGUUUCAAAUAGGACGAAACGCGCGUCCUGAAU